rnacentral:rRNA from 1 species
CAAGUCGAACGCGAAAGCCCCUUCGGGGGUAAGUAGAGUGGCGCACGGGUGAGUAACACGUAGGUAAUCUACCUUUGGAUUGGGAAUAACAAUCGGAAACGAUUGCUAAUACCGAAUAAUGCAGCGGCACCUAAUGGUGACAGUUGUUAAAGCGGGGGAUCGCAAGACCUCGCGUCUAAAGAGGAGCCUGCGGCGGAUUAGCUAGUUGGUAGGGUAACGGCUUACCAAGGCGAUGAUCCGUAGCCGGCCUGAGAGGGCGGUCGGCCACACUGACACUGACAUACGGGUCAGACUCCUACGGGAGGCAGCAGUCGGGAAUUUUGGGCAAUGGGCGAAAGCCUGACCCAGCAACGCCGCGUGAAGGAUGAAAUCCUUCGGGAUGUAAACUUCGCAAGAACGGGAAGAAUAAGUAAGGGUUAAUAUCUCUUACGAUGACGGUACUGUUUGUAAGCUCCGGCUAACUCCGUGCCAGCAGCCGCGGUAAUACGGGGGGAGCAAGCGUUGUUCGGAUUUACUGGGCGUAAAGGGCGCGUAGGCGGCCACCGCAAGUCGAUUGUGAAAUCUCCGGGCUUAACCCGGAAAGGUCAACCGAUACUGCGGGGCUAGAGUGCAGAAGGGGCAACUGGAAUUCUCGGUGUAGCGGUGAAAUGCGUAGAUAUCGAGAGGAACACCUGCGGCGAAGGCGGGUUGCUGGGCUGACACUGACGCUGAUGCGCGAAAGCUAGGGGAGCGAACGGGAUUAGAUACCCCGGUAGUCCUAGCCUUAAACGAUGAAUGCUUGGUGUCUGGGGUUUUAUAG